GACGAGCGCUGGCGGCGUGCUUAACACAUGCAAGUCGAACGGAAAGGCCUUUUCGGAGGUACUCGAGUGGCGAACGGGUGAGUAACACGUGGGUGAUCUGCCCUGCACUCUGGGAUAAGCCUGGGAAACUGGGUCUAAUACCGGAUAGGACCGCACUUUAGUGUGUGUGGUGGAAAGUUUUUUCGGUGUAGGAUGAGCCCGCGGCCUAUCAGCUUGUUGGUGGGGUAAUGGCCUACCAAGGCGGCGACGGGUAGCCGGACUGAGAGGUUGGUCGGCCACAUUGGGACUGAGAUACGGCCCAGACUCCUACGGGAGGCAGCAGUGGGGAAUAUUGCACAAUGGGCGCAAGCCUGAUGCAGCGACGCCGCGUGGGGGAUGACGGCCUUCGGGUUGUAAACUCCUUUCGCCAGGGACGAAGCGUUUUGUGACGGUACCUGGAGAAGAAGCACCGGCUAACUACGUG
rnacentral:rRNA from 1 species